rnacentral:tRNA from 1 species
GCAGUCAUGGCCGAGUGGUUAAGGCGAUGGACCAGAAAUCCAUUGGGGUCUCUCCGCACAGGUUCGAAUCCUGUCGACUGCG